UAUUUGCUUGGGAUCUACGAUGGCAGCAACAACCACUCGUUUUCUCUGGUGUUGGGACUGGAGAUGCUGCUAUCUCUUCAAUAUCUGAAAGUGAGGUUUGGCAGGUUCAGUAUGGUUGCUAUACAAAAUCUUCAAACAUUUCAUCUUCAUGAGUAUUACCUGCCAUGUUUGUGCUGAGAGGAUGGUAUCCUUGCUGUGGUUGAGUGAGGUAUAGUGUUCUUGAUCCAGGCAUCCAGCCAUUGCUUACCAUCUCUGCCAUUUCUGGCAACAAUGUGCUCACUUAGAUGAGUGAAAAUCUUCAUUGUCCCAUUACCACAUUGGAUAACUAUUUUGUAAAAUAAAUUUUGACCGAUCAUAUAUAAAGGUGUUACUGUAUAGGUGAAGAAUCCGCCAAGCUUAUGGCUGAACCUUGUGCAAUCAACAGUUUUGACAUUGUCCAGCGGAACCCCUCGAUGGAUGUUGUAUGUAGUUUGGAGUGGGAAUCUCUGGCGAUCAUGGUAAGACCAUGAUGUUUAGUUUAUAAUUGGAUAUCAAGGGGGGUUAGCCCCUCAGUUUUGAAUCUGUUCACAUUCUUCUCAGCUAUAUUAUACGUAAGAAUCAGAGAAGUACCCAGCCUUUUGGUAUAGGGUACUCCAUUUUGGCCCUGGACAAUGAAUGGAGCAAGUUCCUGACAGAUAACAACCUUGAUGUUCAUGAAAUGUAACGUUGGAGAAGCAGUGUUAUUGAUAAUUUCGCAUCCGUUUUAUUCGUGAAGGCAGUUUAUAUGUCAAUUGAAUUGCAGACAAGCUGUUACUGUGGGUAAUUUGAUUAUAUGUUUAACCGCAAGUACAAUUCUAACCA